rnacentral:misc_RNA from 1 species
UUGUCUCAAGAAAUGUGUAGAACUGCAUUAACAGUUAAGAUCACUAUCAAGAAAAUGUCAAGAGAAGAUGUCUACUACCAACAAAUUAAAAUGAAUCUAGACUAUGAAAAAACAUAGUUUAUACAAGGACACAAUCACCAAGGAUAUACAAUCAGAGCCAAGAUUGUUUACUCAGAAACUCUUUUAGGAAGACCUCUAUCCAAUUUUAUAUUUUAAAGGACCUUAUGAGAGAAAUAAGUUACAAAAAGCAUAUGCUUUAUUCUCUUUCAUAUUUCAAAAAAUUAAUUGAAAUAUAAGUACAUAUGAAGAGAGAGCUCCCUACUUUAGCUAUACAUACAAAGAACAUGUAGUGUGGCUUAGGCAGUGAAGCACAACUUACCAAAAAUAGAAGAAAAUAUUU